CACCGCGGUUAUACGAGAGGCCCAAGUUGACAGUUACCGGCGUAAAGAGUGGUUAAGAAAAAUUUUAAACUAAAGUUGAAUACUCUCCAAACUGUUAUACGUACACGAGAACCAGAAACCCCUCAACGAAAGUGACUUUAACCUUUUUGACCCCACGAAAGCUGUGAAA
rnacentral:rRNA from 1 species